CCUACGGGAGGCAGCAGUGGGGAAUUUUGGACAAUGGGCGGAAGCCUGAUCCAGCCAUGCCGCGUGAGUGAAGAAGGCCUUCGGGUUGUAAAGCUCUUUCAGUCGAGAAGAAAAUGUUGCGGCUAAUAAUCGUAACUAAUGACGGUAUCGACAGAAGAAGCACCGGCUAACUACGUGCCAGCAGCCGCGGUAAUACGUAGGGUGCAAGCGUUAAUCGGAAUUACUGGGCGUAAAGGGUGCGCAGGCGGUUUUGUAAGUCAGAUGUGAAAUCCCCGGGCUUAACCUGGGAACUGCGUUUGAAACUACAAAGCUAGAGUGUAGCAGAGGGGGGUGGAAUUCCAUGUGUAGCAGUGAAAUGCGUAGAGAUAUGGAGGAACACCGAUGGCGAAGGCAGCCCCCUGGGUUAACACUGACGCUCAGGCACGAAAGCGUGGGGAGCAAACAGGAUUAGAUACCCUGGUAGUCCACGCCCUAAACUAUGUCAACUAGUCGUCGGAUCUUAAUAGGUUUGGUAACGUAGCUAACGCGUGAAGUUGACCGCCUGGGGAGUACGGUCGCAAGAUUAAAACUCAAAGGAAUUGACGGGGACCCGCACAAGCGGUGGAUUAUGUGGAUUAAUUCGAUGCAACGCGAAAAACCUUACCUACCCUUGACAUGUAUCUAAGCUUGCUGAGAGGUGAGUGUGCCCGAAAGGGAAAGAUAACACAGGUGCUGCAUGGCUGUCGUCAGCUCGU
rnacentral:rRNA from 1 species